ACUCGACUUCAUGAAGUUGGAAUCGCUAGUAAUCGCAGAUCAGCACGCUGCGGUGAAUACGUUCCCGGGCCUUGUACACACCGCCCGUCACACCACGAAAGUGGUCUUAACCAGAAGUCACUGAGCUAACCGUAAGGAGGCAGGUGACCAAGGUCGGGGCCGUGAUUGGGGUGAAGUCGUAACAAGGUAGCCGUAGGGGAACCUGCGGCUGGAUCACCUCCUUUCUAAGGAA
rnacentral:rRNA from 1 species